CACUCCUGCGGGAGGCAGCAGUGGGGAAUUUUGGACAAUGGGGGCAACCCUGAUCCAGCAAUGCCGCGUGAGUGAAGAAGGCCUUCGGGUUGUAAAGCUCUUUUGUCAGGGAAGAAACGGUGGUGGCGAAUAACUACUACUAAUGACGGUACCUGAAGAAUAAGCACCGGCUAACUACGUGCCAGCAGCCGCGGUAAUACGUAGGGUGCAAGCGUUAAUCGGAAUUACUGGGCGUAAAGCGUGCGCAGGCGGUUGUGUAAGUCAGAUGUGAAAUCCCCGGGCUCAACCUGGGAAUUGCAUUUGAGACUGCACGGCUAGAGUGUGUCAGAGGGGGGUAGAAUUCCACGUGUAGCAGUGAAAUGCGUAGAUAUGUGGAGGAAUACCGAUGGCGAAGGCAGCCCCCUGGGAUAACACUGACGCUCAUGCACGAAAGCGUGGGGAGCAAACAGGAUUAGAAACCCUGGUAGUCCCAUGAU
rnacentral:rRNA from 1 species